UACAGAGGGGGCAAGCGUUAUCCGGAUUCACUGGGUUUAAAGGGUGCGUAGGUGGGCAGUUAAGUCAGUGGUGAAAUCUCCGGGCUCAACCCGGAAACUGCCAUUGAUACUAUCUGUCUUGAAUAUCGUGGAGGUAAGCGGAAUAUGUCAUGUAGCGGUGAAAUGCUUAGAUAUGACAUAGAACACCAAUUGCGAAGGCAGCUUACUACCCGAAUAUUGACACUGAGGCACGAAAGCGUGGGGAUCAAACAGG
rnacentral:rRNA from 1 species